rnacentral:tRNA from 1 species
UCUGAACUGGCUCAGUCGGUUAAGAAUCCGCCUGCAAAGCAGGAGACCCAGGUUCGAUCCCUGGGUUGGGAA